rnacentral:rRNA from 1 species
GAUGAACGCUGACAGAAUGCUUAACACAUGCAAGUCAACUUGAACUUCGGUUUGGGUGGCGGACGGGUGAGUAACGCGUAAAGAACUUGCCUCACAGAUAGGGACAACAUUUGGAAACGAAUGCUAAUACCUGAUAUUAUGAUUAUAUGGCAUCGUAUAAUUAUGAAAGCUAUAUGCGCUGUGAGAGAGCUUUGCGUCCCAUUAGCUAGUUGGAGAGGUAACGGCUCACCAAGGCGAUGAUGGGUAGCCGGCCUGAGAGGGUGAUCGGCCACAAGGGGACUGAGACACGGCCCUUACUCCUACGGGAGGCAGCAGUGGGGAAUAUUGGACAAUGGACCAAGAGUCUGAGCCAGCAAUUCUGUGUGCACGAUGAAGUUUUUCGGAAGGUAAAGUGCUUUCAGUUGGGAAGAAAAAAAUGACGGUACCAACAGAAGAAGAGACGGCUAAAUACGUG